UAAAUUGAGAGUUUGAUCCUGGCUCAGGAUGAACGCUGGCGGCGUGCUUAACACAUGCAAGUCGAGCGAUGAAGUUUCCUU
rnacentral:rRNA from 1 species